rfam:Schistosoma mansoni, Puerto Rico, WGS project CABG01000000 data, contig: 0132
ACCUUGCUGACGAGUGCCCAGUAGCACGAAAGUCGAGUCCAGGGU